rnacentral:rRNA from 1 species
CGUGUAGGCGGUCAGGUUAGUGGGACGUGAAAUGCCCCGGCUCACCCGGGGACCUGCGUCCCAAACUGCCUGGCUUGAGUAUGGGAGAGGAUGAGGGAAUUCCUGGUGUAGCGGUGAAAUGCGUAGAUAUCAGGAGGAACACCGGUGGCGAAGGCGCUCAUCUGGCCCAAUACUGACGCUGAGGCGCGAAAGCUAGGGGAGCAAACG